rnacentral:rRNA from 1 species
UACGUAGGUGGCGAACGUUAUCCGGAAUUAUUGGGCGUAAAGGAUGCGUAGAUGGUGUAGUAAGUUAUCGGUGGUAAAUCGAGGCUCAACCUCGUGGAAGUCGGUAAUACUGCUAUGCUAGAGGAUAGGAGAGGUUAACGGAACUCCCUGUGGAGCGGUGAAAUGCGUAGAUAUAGGGAAGAACACCAAUCAGGCGAAGGCAGUUAACUAUUCUAUUCCUGACAUUGAGGCAUGAAAGCGUGGGGAGCAAAACGG